rnacentral:lncRNA from 1 species
GACUUCCUGGCGCUUUGCCCUUUGGGGAGCGGAGCCAAGGAACAGCGCCAACCUCUCUCCACAAGCCAGGGACCCUACGACCCACCGCCGCAGGUGAGCUCCGCCCGGGCGCCCCCUCCCCCACCACGCCUGGAUCCCUGCCGGGCUCCCCGAGCCGAGACUGUGCCUUCUGCAACAGGGCUGUGCUCCAGAUGCUGUGGAAGAGAUUCUGGGAGAAUCCUGAGGACCCCCCAGUUGCAGCCAUGUCAAGACUGAUGCUGAGGAGGACCCCAACUGUCACGAGCAACACCCGUCGAACACAGCCACCUACUUGGGGAAAGAUCAAGAAGCUGUCACAGAUGGUGGAAGAAAACCUGAGGAAAGCGGGACAACCAGUCACAAUGAGUAAUUUAAUGAUAGCUAUGAGAGCGGUGAUCACCAUUGCUUCUGCAGAUGCAGAUCCUGACUCCUGCGAGAAGUAGCUCACCGUGAUAAAGCUGCCUUUGCUUUUAUUGCCCUGCAAAAACAAGAAGGGGGAUAUGCUGGGGAAUAGGCCCCCAAAUCUGGACAUAAACUGGCCCCAAAACUGGCCAUAAACAAAAUCUCUGCAGCGCUGUGACAUGUUCAUGGUGGCCAUAACGCCCAUGCUGGAAGGCUGUGGUUUACCGGAAUGAGAGCGAGGAACACCUGGCCUAUCCAGGGCGGAAAACCACUUAUAGGUAUUCCUAAACCACAAACAACCUAUGCCUUAAGGACAUGUUCCUGCUGCAGAUAACUAGCCAGAGCCCAUCCCUUUGUUUCGGCCCAUCCUUUUGUUUCCUGUAAGGAGUGCUUUUAGUUAAUCUAUAAUCUAUAGAAACAAUACUUAUCACUGGCUUGCUGUCAAUAAAUAUGUGGGUAAAUCUCUGCUCAUGGCUCUCAGCUCUGAAGGCUGUGAGUCCCCUGAUUUCCCACUCCACAUGCUA